AUUGAACGCUGGCGGCAUGCUUUACACAUGCAAGUCGAACGGCAGCGGGGGCCUCGGCCUGCCGGCGAGUGGCGAACGGGUGAGUAAUGCAUCGGAACGUGCCCAUGUCGUGGGGGAUAACGUAUCGAAAGGUACGCUAAUACCGCAUACGUCCUGAGGGAGAAAGCGGGGGAUCUUCGGACCUCGCGCGAUUGGAGCGGCCGAUGUCGGAUUAGCUAGUAGGUGAGGUAAAGGCUCACCUAGGCGACGAUCCGUAGCGGGUCUAGAGGAUGAUCCGCCACACUGGGGCUGAGGCACGGCCCAGACUCCUACGGGAGGCAGCAGUGGGGAAUUUUGGACAAUGGGCGCAAGCCUGAUCCAGCCAUGCCGCGUGAGUGAAGAAGGCCUUCGGGUUGUAAAGCUCUUUCGGCCGGGAAGAAAUCGUGUUCUCUAACAUAGGACAUGGAUGACGGUACCGGACUAAGAAGCACCGGCUAACUACGUGCCAGCAGCCGCGGUAAAAC
rnacentral:rRNA from 1 species